rnacentral:rRNA from 1 species
UGGGGAAUAUUGCACAAUGGGCGCAAGCCUGAUGCAGCCAUGCCGCGUGUAUGAAGAAGGCCUUCGGGUUGUAAAGUACUUUCAGUCGGGAGGAAGGUGGUAAGGUUAAUAACCUUAUCAAUUGACGUUACCGACAGAAGAAGCACCGGCUAACUCCGUGCCAGCAGCCGCGGUAAUACGGAGGGUGCAAGCGUUAAUCGGAAUUACUGGGCGUAAAGCGCACGCAGGCGGUUGAUUGAGUCAGAUGUGAAAUCCCCGGGGUUAACCCGGGAAUUGCAUCUGAUACUGGUCAGCUAGAGUCCUGUAGAGGGGGGUAGAAUUCCAUGUGUAGCGGUGAAAUGCGUAGAGAUGUGGAGGAAUACCGGUGGCGAAGGCGGCCCCCUGGACAAAGACUGACGCUCAGGUGCGAAAGCGUGGGGAGCAAACAGG